rnacentral:rRNA from 1 species
GAUGAACGCUGGCGGCGUGCCUAAUACAUGCAAGUCGAGCGAACAGACGAGGAGCUUGCUCCUCUGACGUUAGCGGCGGACGGGUGAGUAACACGUGGAUAACCUACCUAUAAGACUGGGAUAACUUCGGGAAACCGGAGCUAAUACCGGAUAAUAUAUUGAACCGCAUGGUUCAAUAGUGAAAGACGGUUUUGCUGUCACUUAUAGAUGGAUCCGCGCCGCAUUAGCUAGUUGGUAAGGUAACGGCUUACCAAGGCAACGAUGCGUAGCCGACCUGAUAGGGUGAUCGGCGACCCUGGAACUGAGACACGGUCCAGACUCAUACGGGAGGCAGCAGUAGGGAAUCUUCCGCAAUGGGCGAAAGCCUGACGGAGCAACGCCGCGUGAGUGAUGAAGGUCUUCGGAUCGUAAAACUCUGUUAUUAGGGAAGAACAAAUGUGUAAGUAACUAGGCACGUCUUGACGGUACCUAAUCAGAAAGCCACGGCUAACUACGUG